GCUUCAGUGGCCUAGUGGUUAGAGCAUCCGCCUUGGAUGCGGGAGGUCAUGGGUUCGAUCCCUGGUCAAGUCA